GGGUCACAGUGAGUGAGUGGCGAACGGGUGAGUAUCACGUGAGAAACCUGUCCCGAAGACUGGAAUAACCCGAGGAAACUCGGGCUAAUACCGGAUAUCCCCACCGGAUCGCAUGGUCUGGUGAGGAAAUGCUCCGGCGCUUCGGGAGGGUCUCGCGGCCUAUCAGCUAGUUGGUGAGGUAACGGCUCACCAAGGCAUCGACGGGUAGCUGGUCUGAGAGGACGAUCAGCCACACUGGGACUGAGACACGGCCCAGACUCCUACGGGAGGCAGCAGUGGGGAAUCUUGCGCAAUGGGCGAAAGCCUGACGCAGCCACGCCGCGUGAGGGAUGAAGGCUUUCGGGUUGUAAACCUCUUUCAGCAGGGACGAAAAUGACGGUACCUGCAGAAGAAGCCCCGGCCAACUACGUGCCAGCAGCCGCGGUAACACGUAGGGGGCAAGCGUUGUCCGGAUUUAUUGGGCGUAAAGAGCUCGUAGGCGGUUCAGUAAGUCGGGUGUGAAAACUUGAGGCUCAACCUCAAGAGGCCACUCGAUACUGCUGUGACUGGAGUCCGGUAGAGGAGUGUGGAAUUCCUGGUGUAGCGGUGAAAUGCGCAGAUAUCAGGAGGAACACCGACAGCGAAGGCAGCACUCUGGGCCGGUACUGACG
rnacentral:rRNA from 1 species